rnacentral:rRNA from 1 species
AGUGAACGCUGGCGGUAGGCCUAACACAUGCAAGUCGAACGGCAGCACAGUAAGAGCUUGCUCUUACGGGUGGCGAGUGGCGGACGGGUGAGGAAUACAUCGGAAUCUACUUUUUCGUGGGGGAUAACGUAGGGAAACUUACGCUAAUAUCGCAUACGACCUGCGGGUGAAAGCAGGGGAUCUUCGGACCUUGCGCGAAUGAAUGAGCCGAUGUCGGAUUAGCUAGUUGGCGGGGUAAAGGCCCACCAAGGCGGCGAUCCGUAGCUGGUCUGAGAGGAUGAUCGGCGACACUGGAGGUGAGACGCGGUCCAGAGUCCUACGGGAGGCAGCAGUGGGGAAUGUUGGACAAUGGGCGCAAGCCUGAUCCAGCCGUACCGCGUGGGUGAAGAAGGCCUUCGGGUUGUAAAGCCCUUUUGUGGGGAAAAAAAAGCAGCAGGUUAAUACCCCGCUGUUCUGACGGUACCCAAAGAAUAAGCACCGGCUAACUUCGUG